ACGCCUCUGCCAUGUACGAGAAGGGGUGUACUUUUGGCGAACCAAUGAAAACCCGUUGGGAGCCGAUUCAAUACCUCUGGGCUUGUCCCUGAAGGUCUAAGGCGCCCACUUGAACUGCGGGUUCUCAAAAGCGCUCCGACGGCAUUGCGGUGGAGGUCCU
rnacentral:other from 1 species